rfam:Heligmosomoides polygyrus genome assembly, scaffold: HPBE_scaffold0006847
GCGCCCGUGGUGUAAAGGCGUAGAGCAUUCCCGCCCGGUCAGAGGGAGGUGCGGGUUCGAGUCCCGCCUGGCGCU